UAAGGAUGAAGGGUUUGAUCCUGGCUCAGGGUGAACGCUGGCGGCGCGCCUAACACA
rnacentral:rRNA from 1 species